GACAUACUAUGCAUCAAAAUGUAGGUCAGGGUCUUGUGAUUCUCACAAUAUAAAGCUCUUCGCUGUAGGAUGUAUAGUUAAAAUACCACCGUUUGAUGAUGGCAACCGCCAGUGAAGUGAGCAAUUUGGAGCAGUUUGUUUUUAACUGCUCUUCUCGGCCCUAUUUGAAAUCUAUUAGUUCCUGUUGGCAGUUGGUGGAAUGUUCGAGGGAUUUGAAACCCUGUGUAACAAGGCUGCAAUAUGAAGAUGCUGUUCUAUAUGUAUUAAUAAAGUGAGUACUUCGUUAUACAGGAAUUAUUGACUGAUUUGUACAAAACAUCACAGUGGCAGCAGGGGUAGCUGAACGUUUUCAUAUAA